rnacentral:rRNA from 1 species
UACAGAGGUCUCAAGCGUUGUUCGGAUUCAUUGGGCGUAAAGGGUGCGUAGGUGGCGCGGUAAGUCGGGUGUGAAAUUUCGGAGCUUAACUCCGAAACUGCAUUCGAUACUGCCGUGCUUGAGGACUGGAGAGGAGACUGGAAUUCCCGGUGUAGCGGUGAAAUGUGUAGAGAUCGGGAGGAACACCGGUGGCGAAGGCGGGUCCCUGGGCAUCUCCUGACGCUGAGGCGCGAAAGCGUGGGGAGCAAACGGG